rnacentral:tRNA from 2 species
GCCAAAGUAGCUCAGUUGGCAGAGCGGCGCACUCGUAAUGCGCAGGUCUGGGGUUCGACUCCCCACUUUGGCU